GGGUCGCUAGCUCAGUGGUAGAGCACCUGACUUUUAAUCAGGGUGUCGCUGGUUCGAUCCCAGCGCGACCCACCA
rnacentral:tRNA from 1 species